rnacentral:rRNA from 1 species
ACGGAAGGCAGCAGUGAGGAAUAUUGGUCAAUGGGCGAAAGCCUGAACCAGCCAAGUCGCGUGAAGGAUGAAGGUAUUAUGUAUUGUAAACUUCUUUAGCAGCAGAGUAAUAAGGGGGUCGUGACCUCCGAUGCAAGUAUGCUGAAAAUAAGGAUCGGCUAACUCCGUGCCAGCAGCCGCGGUAAUACGGAGGAUCCGAGCGUUAUCCGGAUUUAUUGGGUUUAAAGGGUGCGCAGGCGGUUUUUUAAGUCAGUGGUUAAAUCGUGAGGCUCAACCUCAUCACGCCAUUGAUACUGGAAGACUUGAUUGCGGUUGAGGUUGGCGGAAUUCGUCGUGUAGCGGUGAAAUGCAUAGAUAUGACGAAGAACUCCGAUUGCGUAGGCAGCUGACCAAGCCGUAAAUGACGCUCAUGCACGAAAGUGCGGGGAUCGAACAGGAUUAGAUACCCUGGUA